rnacentral:rRNA from 1 species
GAUGAACGCUGGCGGCGUGCCUAAUACAUGCAAGUCGAGCGAACGGACGAGAAGCUUGCUUCUCUGAUGUUAGCGGCGGACGGGUGAGUAACACGUGGAUAACCUACCUAUAAGACUGGGAUAACUUCGGGAAACCGGAGCUAAUACCGGAUAAUAUUUUGAACCGCAUGGUUCAAAAGUGAAAGACGGUCUUGCUGUCACUUAUAGAUGGAUCCGCGCUGCAUUAACUAGUUGGUAAGGUAACGGCUUACCAAGGCAACGAUGCAUAGCCGACCUGAGAGGGUGAUCGGCCACACUGGAACUGAGACACGGUCCAGACUCCUACGGGAGGCAGCAGUAGGGAAUCUUCCGCAAUGGGCGAAAGCCUGACGGAGCAACGCCGCGUGAUUGAUGAAGGUCUUCGGAUCGUAAAACUCUGUUAUUAGGGGAGAACAUAUGUGUAAGUAACUGUGCACAUCUUGACGGUACCUAAUCAGAAAGCCACGGCUAACUACGUG